CCCAUCGAUCAAUCAAUGUUUCUCUCCUCAGUUCGACGAUCUACCAUCAUGACCAUGGGUGUGUUCAAUAUUUCACCACAGAACUUUCUGCAAUAUCCCCGGAACUUAAAAUUGAAUUACUGUGGUAAUUCUCGCAUAAUAGAUAAUUUUUCUAAGAUUCCUCUGUCAAUUAUGUCGGGACGAAACAAAAUACCUGGAGUGGACAUGGACAAUUCUAACAAUGGGAUUGCCAGUGUGCUACAGUACCUGGACAUUAUGACAUCACAUGGCCAAUUAAGAAGAUAUCGGAAAAGAGAAAACCGAAUUAGGGUCCCUGGUCCGUUCCAGCAUUCCGGAACCAUUUCGAGCAACGAGUUCACAGAAAAAUCUACAGCUACAUGUAGAUGUUAUCUUAUGACGUCAUUCAUCAUUUCAUCAUCGUGUUUUAUGCGUCACGAUUUCACAGUCCUCUACUCCAGAACAAGACGGCAUUAAGAAGCGAGCCAGAGAGAGAGACAGCGAGAAACCCGUUUUCUCAGUUGGGCAUUGCUGCAGACGACAGUUUACCUCUAGUUGUACCCAAGCGACGCCGACGACACCGCUGGCAACAAUAUUAUGUUGUGAUGAACCUGAGCCGUGGAACUGAGUUGCCUGAUAAUUUUAAAAGAGCAUAAAGACGAUGGCGGACAAUUGAAAUCAAGUGUUGAUAGAAUUCCGUGUAUCAUUGCUAUCAUGGUAACUAUUGUUUAGUGAUUAUUAUAUUGCAUAAUUGAUAAUUGGUUUAAAACUGCAAACAUAUCAAUACAUAUAUAUGUAGUUGCAGCUUGCUUGCUAGCUGUUCUUACAACCAGCAACGGGCUUUUUCAAGUUUCUGAAAAUGUGUUUCCCAGAAGACACCAGAAAUCCAUAUUACCCAAUCCCGUUGUUUAGUAACAAUCGUCUAUGACCUAAAACCUUUUGAGGAGUUCAAGGUUAAACUCUUAAAUGAGGUUGAGAAGGUCAUUAGUAGUCCUAAUACAAGCAUUUCAAAAACAAGCCUCUACAGAAACCUUCAGAGCUUUACACAAAGAGGUAGACUACUGUAAACGUGAUUAUUUUCGCGGAGGUUAAAUUCACGAUUUCAAUAUGUAAACUAUACGCAUGGGGAUAAUUUUUGCGAUCGAUCCACUUUCGCUUAUAGUUCAAGAUUCAGCAAAUUGAUAUCAAAAUGAUACGCAUGGGGGAAAUUUUCGCGAGCAAAAGGAGUCCGCGUAAUUAGCGUAAAUUUCCUCCUCUCGUAAAAUUCAACGUUAACAGUAUUCAAAAACUAAAUACAAAAAAAUGUAUGGCCAUUUACAUGAUUAAUCCAAUUUUCUGGUAGAAAUGCUGGCUUAAGAAAUAGGAAACAUAUUACAAUAUACUAAAUAUAAAUAACAUACAAAUUGGUUUGGGUGAACUUCAGACCAUGAUUUAUUUGCAUAAUACAUAAUUAUAACAGAGUAAAAUAACAAUAAGCAAUAUCAUUAUUUUUUGUAGUUAAAACUUAAACUAUGGUCCUCCUACUACACUAAUCACUAUACACUACAAGUUAACAAAUACUAAAACUACACAUAAAUAUAUUUAAUGGUGAAUGAUGAUUUGAGGGUGGGCGGGUGGCAUAUCUCAGGUUAGAGAAAUCCUGCUGCUGAAGCUUUGCCAGAAAAUUCUGAAGUGACCAGCAUGUAGGAGGGGAACAAUCUGCAGACUGUUUCCCCUAUGGGGGUUCACUCUAGCAGGGAAGUGUCCAUCCCAUUGGUCAAACAGAUUACAUAUAACCAAAUUUAGUCAUCUGCUAUUUGAUCAGGGUGAGGCCUGCUUUAUGUAAUGUAUGUGGCCCUGCUCACAGUUGGUGUCCCAGAUGCCAGCUGACCCUUUAUUUACACAACUGUAGCGGUUAAUGUAAAAGCAAGCUGGACCCCUACUAGUGAGGGAUCUGGUUACUGUUGUAAUGAGAUCUAGACUCCCUUGUAAUUUUAUGCAGAUAAAAUUGCCCACCACUCAAAGUAUUAAUAACAUAUUAACUAAAUUAAUAUUCUCAUUAAUCCAAUUUUCUGGUAGAAAUGCUGGCUUAAGAGAUAGAAAACAUAUUACAAUAUACUAAAUAUAAAUAACAUACAAAUUGGUUUGGGUGAACUUCAGACCAUGAUUUAUUUGCAUAAUACAUAAUUAUAACAGAGUAAAAUAACAAUAAGCAAUAUCAUUAUUUUUUGUAGUUAAAACUUAAACUAUGG